GGCCACGUGGCGGAGUGGUGACGCAGCGGCCUGCAAAGCCGUGAACGCCGGUUCGAUUCCGGCCGUGGCCUCCA
rnacentral:tRNA from 1 species